rnacentral:rRNA from 1 species
AAUACAUGCAAGUCGAGCGAGAAAGCCCUCUUCGGAGGGCGAGUACAGCGGCGCACGGGUGAGUAACACGUGGGUAACCUGCCCUGGAGUCUGGAACAACCCGGGGAAACCCGGGCUAAUUCCGGAUACGGCGGGGGGAUCCUCGGAUCCCCUCGAGAAAGGUGGCCUCUUCUUGAAAGCUACCGCUCCUGGAUGGACCCGCGGCCCAUUAGCUUGUUGGUGAGGUAACGGCUCACCAAGGCUUUGAUGGGUAGCUGAUCUGAGAGGAUGAUCAGUCACACUGGAACUGAGACACGGUCCAGACUCCUACGGGAGGCAGCAGUAGGGAAUUUUGUCCAAUGGGCGAAAGCCUGAGACAGCAACGCCGCGUGUGGGAUGAAGGCCCUCGGGUCGUAAACCACUGUCGGAAGGGAAGAACAACCCGGCGGGGAAUAUUCGCCGGGCCUGACGGUACCUUCGAAGGAAGCACCGGCUAACUCCGUGCCAGCAGCCGCGGUAAUACGGAGGGUGCAAGCGUUGUUCGGAAUUACUGGGCGUAAAGCGCGUGUAGGCGGUCGAGCAAGUCGAAUGUGAAAUCCCUGGGCUCAACCCGGGAAUUGCAUCCGAAACUGCUUGGCUAGAGUCCCGGAGAGGAAGGCAGAAUUCCCAGUGUAGGGGUGAAAUCCGUAGAUAUUGGGAGGAAUACCAGUGGCGAAGGCGGCCUUCUGGACGGUGACUGACGCUGAGACGCGAAAGCGUGGGGAGCAAACAGGAUUAGAUACCCUGGUAGUCCACGCCGUAAACGUUGUGCACUAGGCGUCGGGGGUAUUCACCCCUCCGGUGCCGCAGCUAACGCAAUAA